UUUUUUUUUUUUUUUUUUGUAGAUUUGAUUACAUAGAGCUUGAAGCAGUUGAAAUAACCCUGCAGCAGUUGUACGCCUCAUUUUUUUGUUUUUUUGUUUUAAAGUGUGCUCUACAUUUUCAGACGGGGAACGACAAGUGGCUUUUUUUUAAACCUCGUGGGAGGUGUCGCCAGUUUCCUUUCUCAAGUGCCAUCUCCCUUGUCAAACUGGCCCUCUCUAAGGCUUCACUGAAGUGUAUGCCCAGGGAUCGUAUCUGAGUUCUAAGUCUCAUGUCAUAGGUCAUGCCCAUCAAGGGGUUGCCAAGAAACUUGGCACUUUACAGGAUUCAGGCAGCAGAAUCUUCAAUUCACAGCCAGGGCUGGCCUUGAAACGCAUUAAGCUAAGUCCCGGUGGGGGCUGAGAUGGACCAUUGCCAAGAAAGCCAUCUGUAAAGCCCACAAAGUGCCACAAUAUAGAAAAAAGAAGGAAACAAUGAUAGUGUCAACAAAGCAAAAUAAAUAAUACAAGGCAAUCAUGACACUGUAUUGGAGCAAUCUGCCAGUGCAGAUGAAGUAGAUGAAGACAUGCAUGGAAAAAAUUCCUACACUGAUUAUUCUUUUUUCAUCUAAAAAAAGGUGGAUAAGCAGUUCUCACUGGCAUUACCCAUAAAACUCGAGCAAUAAAAAUCACAACUUUACGGUCCGACCAAAGUUAAGCAGAUUUAUGUACCAAGUUUAAUAUAUGUAUUUUUUUUUUAUCACUGCGGAGAUGAUUAAUGAUUACAGAAAAAACUACAAUGGUGACAAUAAAGCAAAAGUGUGUUAGAGAUGAAAAACCUCCAAAGAAAAAAUGGAAUAAUUGCUGUUUGAGGAGUACCAAUCAAUAAGCGGGAGAACAGAAAACAGCUUUUGGCGGUAUGACGAAAGGUCCUGCGACUUCGAAGUGAUGUCAAUGCGGCAGUGUUCACAGACACUCUAAAAAUGCUGAACCAUAGAUUCAAUUGGAGACCAACGGAUGGAUUGAUGAACAAUGAAUACAGUGUACCAAAACAACCGGUUUCUAAACCAUGACUUGAGUAAUUACCACUUACGGUGUAGGAAUGCUGUUAAAUACUGAAGAUUGGGUUGUCUAAUGAGUGGUUGUUUCAUAUGAGGUAAAAAAGGGUUUUGGUGAACAUUCAAUUUUGUACCUUUUCAGGUCUCAACUUUAUUUCGCUUUGGACAGGGCAGAGUAGAUUAUAUAUUCUGAAGUCUCAAUAUUUGGAAACUGCACCCUAUGUAAGGAGUAAAAAAAGGUUUCUCUGACAGUCUGACUAUAAUAGUGUUUUUUCUGGGGUACGACAGGGACAUCAACUAAGCCCAGUUCUAUUUCCCCCUCUAUUUCAGUUCAGACAAGGCAGAGUACAUUAUAUAUUUUGCCAAAUUUUUAAGUCUCUCUGUUUUCAGAAACGGCAUCCUGUGAAUUUAGUCAAAAAGAUGUCUCAGUCUAUUUUUGUGUUCUUUCCAGGGUAAGACAGUAAUUCAACUAAGCCCAAUUCUAUUUUCUUCCCCUACCUGGAUGACUAUGAUGAGAAACAAUAUUUGGUUCUUCCUAAUAUGUAUCAUAUUUUUUUUUUACAAUUCAGAGAUUCAGAGAAAUCUAGGUGAACAUUUAUCCUGUUACCUUUUAUGACAGACACAUAAAAAAGUCUUUUCUAUUUUGCUUGUGUUACUUGGGAAGUUAUUUGAGUAUUCUGGUUCAUUCAAAUCUUGUCAAAAGUCUUGACCUAAUCUCCUUCAUCUAUUGUUUUGUUUUUAUUUAAUAUUUUUUUAUGAGGUUUAGUUUGCUAUUAUUUGAACCAGUAACAGUUCUUGGCAAUGUUAAGACUGAGACGGUCUUCAAGGAAAUUUGAGACUGCCUACAAAAACUUAAUUGUCAAUCUGUGGAUUUAAGGUUGUUUUACCCUUGUUAACUUUAAAAUAGGUCGAAAGCACGGCAAUAGCAACUAAAUUUGCUUUCUUCUUCAAGGCCAUACU